ensembl:lncRNA
ACCCUACUCUUGAAAAACAUGUAAAAAAUCCCUGAAAACCACUGUUGGAUUAUUCAUUUUCUCUUUUGUUUUUCCUACUUGAUGAUAUUUUUAUAUCCAGUUACUACUAUUGUAUAUUCUUCAGCAGGCUCUAGGCGUGAAGGUCAGAGAUAAAUUCUUCCUGCUGCGAUGUUUUCUGGGCCCUGAAAUCACAUAUAAUGUUCAUUUUCUUUGCAUUAUUUUGUGAUGUUACUUGGUUGAACUAAAGAUUGAUUUGACAUUAUCUUUGUUGGGCGUGGGGAGUUGAAAGGGAGAGAAAGGAAAGGUUUUUUUUUUUUUGUUAACUUGCAGCUGAAGAGGCUUGCAGAUUUGGCCUUGCUUUGUUUUCGUCACUGAAAAUCUUUUCAGAAAGGCACGUUACCAUAACUGAAAUAGGUGUAGCAACACAUGAAUGUCUUCCCUCUGAGAAAUGCACUGUACCAUUUUAUCAUCUGGUGCAAUAAGAUGCCAUCAUACAGUGAGAUCAUCCUUCUGAUCCUGUCCAGCCUGGAGUGGCCUGACAGUGCUGCUGACCUGCUGUGUGAAUGGGGAGACUCUGUGCUUAAUUCAGUGCUUCACCGGUCCUGGCUAGAUGUCACCAACAGCUGUGGAUUACAUGACACGUCCAGAAUAUGAUGAGGAAGAGUUUUAUUUCUUCAAGUUUUGUAUGUUAUAGGUAGAGAGAAACUAAAAAAAAAAAAAAGCUUUAAAUUCUCCUUAGAGACUUAUCUCAGAAUUGUUCUGUAUUUUACAGGAAGUCUAUCAGAUCCCUUUCACAGUUCUCAUCACCUUUGUUAUGCUCCUGAAACACUGCUCCAUUCCUCCCUUCCAAAUGUCUUCCUCCAUCUUCAGGUUAUUGCAGGGUGGCUACUGCAUAUUUUGUUGUGUGACUAAAUGCAGAUCCCUUCAAAGAUUAUCAAUGUUCCUCAGGCUGCUGGAAGGGACACUAAUGAGCAAUCUGUAUUUUUUUCCCUUGCCUCCUUUUUGUAAUCCUGUAUGAAGCAUGUUCACACCAUGCACCUCAUGCAGGAAUACAUUAUUUAGUACACAGAUAACUUGGUUAUCUGUGGAGCUUUGUGCUUCUUGUUCUGAGUGAGCCCCACUAUACAUCUUUCUGAGGUUUAUACUCAUGCUUGUUCCUUUAAAAUCUUCCCUGUCUAGACUCUUGACUCUUGAGCUAGACUCUGAUUGGGAACUGAAUGUAGCUAGAAUUCAGAUAAUUAGAUUUUUUACCUUUCCCCCCACCUGCUAUUUUUUUUUUUUGGGGGGGGGGAGGCAUGUUUCAGGAAAAAUGAAAGCCAAAAAUUAGAUCUAUAUUUAAGUAUUGUCACAGUAAGAAAAGUAGAAGAAAUCAUUAACCAUGGAAAAGAUCCGCACUGGCUGAAAUGUAUGGUGUUACGUGUGCUUGUACAGUCAGUACAAAACAGUGGUGCAUUGUCUUUGUUUCACGUUUGUUCGAACAGAAAAGCUGGAUUAUAAUGCUGAGAUAACAAUUGAUAUCCAAAUAAAUUGUUACUGAACCUUCA